rnacentral:rRNA from 1 species
GACGAACGCUGGCGGCGUGCUUAACACAUGCAAGUCGAACGGUAAGGCCCUUCGGGGUACACGAGUGGCGAACGGGUGAGUAAACCGUGGGUGAUCCGCCCUGCACUUUGGGAUAAUCCUGGGUCACUGGGCCAAAUACCGGAUAGGACCAUGCGCUUCCCGGCGGGUGGUGCAAAGCUUUUGCGUGGUGGGAUGGGCCCGCGGCCUAUCAGCUGGUUGGUGGGGUAAUUGCCUACAAAGGCGACGACGGGUAGCCGGCCUGAGAGGGUGACCGGCCACACUGGGACUGAGAUACGGCCCAGACUCCUACGGGAGGCAGCAUUGGGGAAUAUUGCACAAUGGGCACAAGCCUGAUGCAGCGACGCCGCGUGAGGAAUGACGGCCUUCGGGUUGUAAACCUCUUUCAGUAGGGACGAAGCGCAAGUGACGGUACCUACAGAAGAAGGACCGGCCAACUACGUGCCAGCCGCCGCCGUAA